GAAGAUAAACAAAAACAAAACACAAGAAGUAAAUCGCGCUUAGUGUAAAGGUUGCAUCAGCAAAGCUCCUUAUUUGUAUCUAAUCUUUGAGCUCAGGGCUAAAUAGUGUUAAAGUUCUUACUUAAACUAGUGGUACGGAGGUGGAAAAGGUGUAAUCGCUCGAGUGCAGGCUAUACGGAAACACUACAGAAGUACGUAGUUCCCAAACUAUCACGUCAUCCGAGAGCUUUGUCGAGUAUAGGUGGCUAACGGAGGCAAAUAGCUGAAAUUCAGACAGAAGGCAACCGAAUAGGAAAAAGAUACUAAACGUAAGCAAAACAAAC